CAGAGCAUUCUCGUCUCUUCUUCACCGACUUUAGAUUACUCCUUUCUUGUCACCAUCGAACCCUUCCUCCUCACCUCCGGCUUGUUCUUCUCUUCACCAUCGGUGUGACUCUUGUUUCACUAUUUCAUUUUUGCUGUUCGCCCGUUUGCUGUCUGCUGAGUUUCUACUCUGAUUUUCGUUGUUUUGUGGCUGAAAGAGUUCUCAGUCUUUUUCUUCCUCGCGGCGCAACUGGUCGGAGCUCUUCUCUUCUCUUUCCCGUCUUCAGUUCCAGUCACGUGCUGGCUCAAGGGUGGCUACUGCAGCUUUGUGGGAGAGGUGCAUGCGUGUUCAUAUCUUUUCUUUUCUUCUCUUCAUCAGCUGGACGUCCGUGUGUGCGUACAGAUAAGUAGUUUUAGAUCUUCUAGCUUCGCUGUCGUCCUACUCUGCUCUUCCCUUGUUUAGUGUUGGCGUGGGUCUGUGUGUCGUCUCAAACCUCUCUUUCUCCUCAGUUCUGGCCGUUGCACAUGCGUAUGGGUAUUUGAAGGAGGAGAAAUUUAACUGAUAUGAAAAGGAGAAUCCUUGAAUUAUGGAAAUUUCAGAUUCAUUAGCUAAUGCUGGUUCUACUGUUGACAUCUGAAGGGCAUGCCACUGUUCUAGGACCUAGCUCAUCGGAUUUGAGUCGAGAAAAACAUACAGAGGCUUAGGAUUGUGGAAUAAUCCUUUAUAUGCCUCUCUUUUAUUAUUUUCAUGUGUAUUUGUUAAUGUAAUUGCCAACUAGGAUUAUUUAACAUGAUUCAUGUACUACUUGCAUGAUUUUGUGUAUAACUAGUGUAUUUUGUACCCUGCGUUAGUGAGUUUUGGUUGUGAACUCAUGGAUAGGGUCAAAAUACUUGUGCAAGUAGAAAUAUAUGUAUUUUGAGAAAUUUGAAAUAA